ensembl:lncRNA
CUCCUCCUCCUCCUCCUCCAGGACUUGAAGGUGUUCCUCCUCCUCCUCCAGGACUUGAAGGUGCUCCUCCUCCUCCAGGACUUGAAGGUACUCCUCCUCCUCCUCCUCCAGGACUUGAAGGUGCUCCUCCUCCUCCAGGUAUUUCCUGCUCCUUUAACGGGUUGGUUGAGCUCCUCUGAGCAGCGGCCUGGCAGACCAACAGCGCUCCUUUCACUCACGUUUUAUUACACGUCGUUUGCCUCGUAGCUCAGAAGGUUUCUGCAGGCGCAUUAGAAUAAUUUAUAGGCGCCAUGUUUUAUGCUCGAGACGGAGAAAAGCACAGCAGGGACCUCAAGCAGCAAGAGAGCGCUAUAAUGAUCUAUAUACAUAUAUAUAUAUAUAUAUUAGAUCAUAUAAUCUAACUGCUGCUGGGAAACACGCUUCAAGUGAAACAAAUCUAUUUGCUCCUGAAAGGAAAGAAGUUUCAGCUCUCGAUCAAACUACAAAGAAUCACAGUGUUUCUACAACUGACACAUUUACUCAAAGUGGAUGAAGGGAAAUAUUAAACAAAUAUGAAUAGUAGAGAUCAGGAAAAUGUAUCGGCAACUAUUUUACGGAAAUAUUUGAUUUAUAUUUUAAAAAUGCCAAAUAUUUACUUUUUCUAGUUGCUAAUUCUCUCUCUGAAAACCACAUUUGACCCUUUUCUUGCAUUCCGGAGAAAAGAAAACACAAACAGACACAUUGAAAGUUCCAACAAUAGUUUUUCUACAUUACAGCCAACUUCAGCCAGAAGAAUAUUCAAAUGUGUUUUUCAUAUAAUAUAUAAUACUACAAUGUCAACCUUCGAAGUUCCAUUUGAAAUGAAGCAUUUCCUGCAGAUUUACAUUAAAUAUCCAACUGGCACCCAGAGGAGUGUCAAUUAUGUUAUUGAUGCAAACCUCACAAUUACAGCUCAGUGCGGGCCUCCUUUCAGGUGGGGGCUCCCUGUCAGAGGGAAGGGAGGUCUCUGCGGAGGGGAUGGGGGGGGGUCUUUCCUCUACGGGGGAUUAGGGAACAUAAUGCUCCCCCAUUCAGCCGCUCCUACUCAACACGUAAAAGUUAGCAGGUGUUUAACGUCACAACGGUUUCAUACCACAGGCACAGAAAUAGCCGGCGACAGGCAGCAGCGGGGGGGCCGAGGGGGGGCCGAGGGGGGCCGGGGGUCUUUGCAGUAUUGAAAGAGUUGUGCAGUUGAGGUGAGAUUAUGUCUGAGAUGUUCCUGUUGUGAUGUGAUCACCUGACCUCAUGGGGUCCAUUCUAGGUGGGAGAAGUUAUUCACAAACAAACGGAUGUUCAUUUACUGUUUGAGCUGUUUCAGGAAAUAAUUUUCUUAAAUAUAUUUUUUAAAGAAUGUGUUAUAUGUUUUCAACAGUGUUGAAAAAGUUGGAAAAUAAAAAUAAUUUUCUUUCUUCACGGUGUUGAAAACCUUCUUCAAUGAAUCGAUUUGAGCCAAAUGUGAGGAUUCUAUUACCGAUAUUUCUAUUAUAGUGUCUGUUUUCUUUCACACAGCACAAGAUAUUCAAACAUUUCAUUUCUGAAACUAUUUCUCUGAGAUUUUAUGUAGAUAUGCAACAUAGUUUUAGGUAACUUACUAACUAACUAAGGUAACUAACCCCUGUCAGCGGCGAACCGGGUCAGACGAGUACAUCUGGGCGCGAGGAGGACGAAGGGAGCCGAGGCCCCUUCAGGCCCUGAGAGCUUUAUGCCGGAAAGUCACCUAUAAAUGACGCCUGCGCUAUCUACACACAUCAGCUGUGCUGGAACC